rnacentral:rRNA from 1 species
UACAGAGGGCGCGAGCGUUGUCCGGAAUCACUGGGCGUAAAGGGCGCGUAGGUGGCGGCAUAAGGCCGCGGUGAAAGUCGGGGGCUCAACCCUCGAAUGCCGGUGGAUACUGUCGGGCUCGAGUACGGAAGAGGCGAGUGGAAUUCCUGGUGUAGCGGUGAAAUGCGCAGAUAUCAGGAGGAACACCGAUUGCGAAGGCAGCUCGCUGGGACGUUACUGACGCUGAGACGCGAAAGCGUGGGGAGCAAACAGG